rnacentral:rRNA from 1 species
AAUUCGAUUAGAGUUUGAUCCUGGCUCAGAUUGAACGCUGGCGGCAUGCCUUACACAUGCAAGUCGAACGGUAACAGAUCUUCGGAUGCUGACGAGUGGCGAACGGGUGAGUAAUACAUCGGAACGUACCCAGUAGUGGGGGAUAACUACUCGAAAGAGUGGCUAAUACCGCAUGAGAUCUACGGAUGAAAGCAGGGGAUCGCAAGACCUUGUGCUACUAGAGCGGCCGAUGGCAGAUUAGGUAGUUGGUGGGAUAAAAGCUUACCAAGCCGACGAUCUGUAGCUGGUCUGAGAGGACGAUCAGCCACACUGGGACUGAGACACGGCCCAGACUCCUACGGGAGGCAGCAGUGGGGAAUUUUGGACAAUGGGCGCAAGCCUGAUCCAGCAAUGCCGCGUGCAGGAUGAAGGCCUUCGGGUUGUAAACUGCUUUUGUACGGAACGAAAAGCCCUGGGUUAAUACCCUGGGGUCAUGACGGUACCGUAAGAAUAAGCACCGGCUAACUACGUGCCAGCAGCCGCGGUAAUACGUAGGGUGCGAGCGUUAAUCGGAAUUACUGGGCGUAAAGCGUGCGCAGGCGGUUUUGUAAGACAGAGGUGAAAUCCCCGGGCUCAACCUGGGAACUGCCUUUGUGACUGCAAGGCUAGAGUACGGCAGAGGGGGAUGGAAUUCCGCGUGUAGCAGUGAAAUGCGUAGAUAUGCGGAGGAACACCGAUGGCGAAAGCAAUCCCCUG